rnacentral:rRNA from 1 species
UGGGGAAUCUUGCGCAAUGGGCGAAAGCCUGACGCAGCGACGCCGCGUGAGCGAUGAAGGCCCUCGGGUUGUAAAGCUCUGUGGAGAGGGAAGAAUAAGGGUACGUUAACACCGUACUCGAUGACGGUACCUCUUUAGCAAGCACCGGCUAACUCUAUGCCAGCAGCCGCGGUAAGACAGAGGGUGCAAACGUUGUUCGGAAUUACUGGGCGUAAAGCGCGUGUAGGCGGCGACGCAAGUCGGAUGUGAAAGCCCAUGGCUCAACCAUGGAAGUGCACCCGAAACUGCGUCGCUAGAGUCUCGGAGAGGAAGGUGGAAUGCUUGGUGUAGAGGUGAAAUUCGUAGAUAUCAAGCGGAACACCGGUGGCGAAGGCGGCCUUCUGGACGAGUACUGACGCUGAGACGCGAAAGCGUGGGUAGCAAA